CUGUUAGCUAGAGCCUGUACAGCCUAGCCUUUGGAGCACCUACAACUCUUGCCUAUGGGUUUCUGGUGCCCUGAGCACACUACCAGGUACCUGGAGGGGCCUGGUGUACCACAGCAACACCUGCAGUGGGAUUACAGCGCAAAGAAUACUCCAAAUUCCAAGUCCGAUCUGACCAAUGGGCAGUAAACAUGUGUUUCAGAUGUCUGAAAUUGGAACAGCUGCAACAAUACGAGGAAUGUAGAUUGCCUUGUUUCCCAUUUGUGGACUGAAGACAGAAUCUACAGGGUUCUGGGCAAAUGAUAAGAAGAAUGUUAUCCCCAUAUAUAUGUAAACACCUUUUAUCCCAAAGGAAGCCAAAGCACAACCAAUGGGCCACAUUCACCCUUACUGCAUGGCAUCUCCCUAUACCAGCCCAGCCUGCUGUGACCAGGCAGAUCAGCCUAUAGGUAGGCAGGCAUUGUUUCCAUUCCUUCCUCCAUGAGGCAUCUAUCAAGGGCAGGCAGGCUUGAUUUAUGCUCAAGAAUCCUACAAGGUUCCCAGGAGUAGAGGCUGCAGUGGAGAUGUGCUGCAGCCUGGCCCAGUCAGUGCCACUCACUUUGGGGGUUGGAACUGGAUGCCUGGGGAGCUACUCCAGCAGGGAGGAGUCUGUUUUGUGCUGCCACAGCCCCUGGGAGCAGACUCUCUGCUACCAUAAAACUUCCAGCCAGACCCGUUUUAGCUUCUGCCAGUUUUAGCUUCAAACAGAACAGACUGAAAAUGAUUUUUUGUUGUUAAAAAUUAAAAUGGAUGAUCUGUUUUGGAUCAAUAAAGUGAAAAUAAAAUUAACAUUUCCUGUAAAAUACAAGCAAGCCUGAAACUAAAGCUUUUUUAAGGUUCAAAAACUUUAUAUUGUUUUUUUUCCCUUCCUCUUUCAUUUUCAUACAACUCUGCACUUCCUGGUUCCCAAUAAGCUGGAAGCAGAAAUAUUAAAAUCUCACCAGAAAGUUUGUCCUUGUGAUAUUUCUGUCCAGAGGCAGAAAGCACUAGAAAUAUCACCAAACAACCUAUCCAGAAUAAUUCCUAGCCAAAUGUGGCCCCAAGAGUUUCAGGUAGGGUAAAUUACAUUCCCUCUUCUACAGCUAUGCACAGCCACCUGGCAUUAUGAAGGAAAGAAGUUUUGUAAUGCAAGGGCAGGGUUUACAACCCCUGCAAAUGCAAAGCACUUCUGUGGCAUUGCUCCCGGAGCAGUAGCAAACGUGGAAUUAGUGGUGGAGCUAGCCAAGAAUCCAUAUUUGUUCCCAUAGUGAGAUGGGAUAUUGAGCCCACAGGGCUACUCUAUCCAUUAAGCUGAAAUAGCCCCCAUAGAGGCAAGUAGUCUCCAUAGAGAUACUGACGCUUGCAG